UACGAAGGGGGCGAGCGUUGUUCGGAUUUACUGGGCGUAAAGGGCGCGCAGGCGGUUCUGUUUGUCGAGUGUGAAAGCCCCGGGCUCAACCUGGGAACUGCGCUCGAAACGGCAGAACUAGAGUUCGGGAGAGGAGAGUGGAAUUCCCAGUGUAGAGGUGAAAUUCGUAGAUAUUGGGAAGAACACCGGUGGCGAAGGCGGCGCUCUGGACCGAGACUGACGCUGAGGCGCGAAAGCGUGGGGAGCAAACAGG
rnacentral:rRNA from 1 species